GGAGAUCUAUAACUCAAUUGGAAGGGAGCUGCUAAACACAAUGGCUCACAAAUCUUCAUCUAGGGCAGCAAUACUUACAAGUACUGUGGCAUGGAAGACUCCCUCGUUGCUUCCCUGCAGUGACAGUCAUGUGAUUGCCAGUUUCUGUCUGAAGCAAAGAAGAUGCUGCCCUCACUUCCACACCAAGUUUUGUCUGGUUUGUGAGGCCCCCCCAACCAUAAAUCAUUUCCAACCUGUCAGAAUGGAUCUGUGCUGGCAAGGAAACAAGGGUAAUGUUUCAAUUU